ensembl:snRNA U6 U6 spliceosomal RNA
GUGCUUGCUUUGGCUGCACAUAUACUACAUUUUGAACAAUACAGAGAAUAGCAUGACUCUCAUGCAAAGAUGACAGACAUUUAUGAAACAUUCCAUAUCUUU